rnacentral:rRNA from 1 species
GUGGGGAAUUUUCCGCAAUGGGCGCAAGCCUGACGGAGCAACGCCGCGUGGGUGACGAAGGAUUUCGGUCUGUAAAGCCCUUUCAGUCGGGACGAGUCGCAGACGGUACCGACAGAAGAAGCAUCGGCUAACUACGUGCCAGCAGCCGCGGUAAGACGUAGGAUGCGAGCGUUGUCCGGAAUUAUUGGGCGUAAAGCGUACGUAGGCGGUCAUCUAAGUCUGGGGUUAAAGACCAAGGCUCAACCUUGGGAGUGCCCUGGAUACUGGGUGACUGGAGGACGGCAGAGGAAAGUGGAAUUCCCAGUGUAGCGGUGAAAUGCGUAGAUAUUGGGAGGAACACCAGUGGCGAAAGCGACUUUCUGGGCCGUUCCUGACGCUGAGGUACGAAAGCCAGGGGAGCAAACGGGAUUAGAUACCCUAGUAGUCC